rnacentral:rRNA from 1 species
UACGGAGGUGGCAAGCGUUGCUCGGAAUCACUGGGCGUAAAGGGCGCGUAGGCGGGGAGGUAAGUCGGGUGUGAAAUCCCUCGGCCCAACCGAGGAACUGCGCCCGAGACUGCUUCUCUUGAGUCCCGGAGAGGAAGAUGGAAUUCCCGGUGUAGCGGUGAAAUGCGCAGAUAUCAGGAGGAACACCGGUGGCGAAGGCGGGUCUCUGGGCCGAUACUGACGCUGAGGAGCGAAAGCGUGGGGAGCGAACAGG